AGAUUAACUUCUCAUGUGAAAUUUGUUCCUGCACCAAAUUCAGAAAUGUUGAUGUAUCACAGACUCUUAAACAUAUUCAGACAGGUACAGGAAAGUCAAGUACUCCAAUCAACAUCAAAGCUUCCCUCUACCAGUUGCAUAAUUCACAAGGAUGAUGAAGAAAAAAGCUGGCAGAGUUUCACAGCUUCUGCUUCUGAAUCCACAAGUUAGGAUGUAGUGUGCUGCACAAAUUAUUCUUUCUUCCUUUUGCUCUUCUCCACUCUGGCUGCUGCUGGCUGAUGGUUUUGCUAUGCUGACCUU